GUUUGUUUCUGAGACUAAAUACACCAGAUCUCAUCUGAUCUGCAAAGCUAAGCAGGGUUGGGCCUGGUUAGUAUUUGGAUGGGAGACUACCUGGGAAUACCAGGUGCUGUAAGCU
ensembl:rRNA 5S_rRNA 5S ribosomal RNA